rnacentral:rRNA from 1 species
UACGACUACAUAUCAGGCAUAUCAAUAAGCGGAGGAAAAGAAACUAUCAAGGAUUCCCCUAGUAACGGCGAGUGAAGCGGGAAGAGCUCAAAUUUGAAAUCUUAAAGGGUUUCCCUUUACGAAUUGUAGUUUAAAGAAGUGUUUUCUGUUGGAGUUUCGGUAAAAGUUCUUUGGAAUAGGACAUCAUAGAGGGUGAGAAUCCCGUAUUUGACCGUUACUUUCCAGCUGUGUGAUACACUCUCAAAGAGUCGGAUUGUUUGGGAAUGCAGUCCAAGAUGGGUGGUAAAUUUCAUCUAAAGCUAAAUAUUGGCGAGAGACCGAUAGCGAACAAGUACCGUGAGGGAAAGAUGAAAAGAACUUUGAAAAGAGAGUUAAACAGUACGUGAAAUUGUCAAAAGGGAAGCGUUUGACACCAGUGUUGUUUAGUUGAAAAUCAAUUCAAUAGUUUUUGAUUCUAAGUAGUAUUGACUUCAUCAGCUUGCUGCUUUCUUCUCAGAAAUUAUUGAAUGCACUUUUCAGUUAACAAGUCAACAUCAAUUUCUUUUGUUGUAAAAGGGUAAGAGGAAGGUGGCUUGCGCUUCGGCUCAAGUGUUUAUAGCCUUUUAUCUCUGCAAUCGGAGAGAUUGAGGUCUGCAGCGUAGAUCCUUCGGGGUUAGAUACAUUGGUGCUAAGCUAUAGCCUUGUAUAGACAACUUGUUGACUAUGUUUAGUCAUGUAGCUUACCCGCUUGUGCUAUUUUACCUACGCUUAGGAUGUUGAUCUACAGAGCGAGAGU